UUCUGUACUUAUCUCUUGCAUUAGCUAUUGCACCGGAUCCCAUAAGAUCUCCGUAGUUAAGUGUGUUUGGGCAAGAGUAGUACUAUAGGAUGGGUGAUCUUUGGGAAGUCCUUAUGUUGCACCUC
rnacentral:rRNA from 1 species